AUUGAACGCUGGCGGCAUGCCUUACACAUGCAAGUCGAACGGCAGCACGGGAGCAAUCCUGGUGGCGAGUGGCGAACGGGUGAGUAAUAUAUCGGAACGUGCCCAGUAGUGGGGGAUAGCCCGGCGAAAGCCGGAUUAAUACCGCAUACGACCUGAGGGUGAAAGCGGGGGAUCGCAAGACCUCGCGCUAUUGGAGCGGCCGAUAUCAGAUUAGCUUGUUGGUGGGGUAAAAGCCUACCAAGGCGACGAUCUGUAGCUGGUCUGAGAGGACGACCAGCCACACUGGGACUGAGACACGGCCCAGACUCCUACGGGAGGCAGCAGUGGGGAAUUUUGGACAAUGGGCGCAAGCCUGAUCCAGCCAUGCCGCGUGCGGGAAGAAGGCCUUCGGGUUGUAAACCGCUUUUGUCAGGGAAGAAACGGCUCUUGAUAAUACCGAGAGCUAAUGACGGUACCUGAAGAAUAAGCACCGGCUAACUACGUGCCAGCAGCCGCCGUAA
rnacentral:rRNA from 1 species